rnacentral:rRNA from 1 species
GACGAACGCUGGCGGCGUGCCUAAUACAUGCAAGUCGAACGCACAGUUUAUACCGUAGCUUGCUACACCAUAGACUGUGAGUUGCGAACGGGUGAGUAACGCGUAGGUAACCUGCCUGGUAUCGGGGGAUAACUAUUGGAAACGAUAGCUAAUACCGCAUAAUAUUGAUUAUUGCAUGAUACUUGAUUGAAAGAUUCUAUUUCAUCACUACCAGAUGGACCUGCGUUGUAUUAGCUAGUAGGUGAGGUAACGGCUCACCUAGGCGACGAUACAUAGCCGAGCUGAGGAGGAGGACGAGCAAACCUGGACUGGGAAAAGGCCCAGACUUCUACGGGAGGCAGCAGUAGGGAAACUUCGGAAAUGGAGGAAAAUCUGACCGAGCAACGGCGGGGGAGUGAAGAAAGUUCUCGGAUCGUAAAAGUCUGUUGUAAGGGAAGAAAGGGUGUGAGAGUGGAAAGUUCACGCUGUGACGGUAUCUUAACAGAAAGGGACGGCUAACUACGUG